AGGAACAGUCACUCUUUCCUGCUGUUGAGAUGCCAGGAUCACAGCUACAAUGGAAUAUGAAGAGAAGCAGUGAAAGGAUUAAUCUCUUCCCGCCUCCUAGCAACCAUUUGCUAUUAUAAAUCCAGCCAAGACAGCCUGUAAACAUCCGCUGUUGAUUGUUGGAAGCAGAAGGAAGAACUUCAAGCCCACUAAGUACAGUCUUCUGGGAACUAUCAGAUUUAUUCAUUAUGAAUUAUUCUCAGCUGCCCUUCCUGGGAGGAGCAGGAUGAAAGAACCUAUAAGCUUUUUGUAAUUGAUUUGUGAUGGGUCAGGUUCACAGAGCAUAAAAUAAAAUAAAGAGCCUUCUAUUAGGCUGAAGUAACCCAGUCAGUAGUGCAAGGAAAAGCAAACAAAGAGCUUCCCUUAGCUCAAACACUGUGGUAUUCUCAGCCUAUGAGCACUGACUGACUUGCUGUUAUGCACAUAUAGCCAAGCUCUGGCCUUCCCCACGUUUGUCUUUUCAAUAGCCACAUCCUGGCUAGCCCGCA